rnacentral:lncRNA from 1 species
AGCGGCCGCCCCGUUCGAUGGGCCACGCCCCAUGCCCCUUGCCGGCCGUGGGCCCGUGGGAUGCGCCGGGAGGGUCCCGACACCCCUGGGAAUCCCAGGAUACCUGGGGCUGCUGGCUGUCCCGGGUUCCUGUCCGGUCUCCGCCGCUCCAACGCUACCGGUGCCUCCCGACCCCUCGAAGGCACGUCAGUUCUUCCCCGGGUCCGGCUGGGAAGCUCCCCGGAGACUGCGUUGGUUCUGGGGGCUGUCCUCCGGCUUGGCUGUUGCUUCCAAGGGAAAGGAAUGUCAAGACAUAUUUAGGAUUUGCUUUCAUUGGACAACCUGGAGUGACAAACAGGAUACCUUGCCUGCAAAGCUGGUUCAGGAAUUGGGAUUUUGCUGCUCGAAGUGGUCAUGCCAACAGUGCCUGCCAAGCUGUGGUUAUCACAGCCAGAGCAAGACAAAGGGACAACUUUGAGCUGGGCACUUGCCUUACUUUCUUGGGUCUGGUGGUGGAGGUGGCAGCUGUUCUGCUUCCCCCUGCUCCCUUCAGGGCAUUUGACCUGAUAUUUCCUACUAUGAUCAGUGGAAUCCCUUACACCACUGUGCUGCUGCGAUGUCUGUGGAAGAGAUGACUGCAGUGUCCAGGCUAAGAAGAGACUGGUGUAUCCAGUCUGAUGGAUGAGGAGUAUCAGAUGAGGAGUCAAGCUAAUAAUAAAGGAGUUAUUGCCCCUAGACCCCA